CUUGUUAGGUGACUGCGUACCUUUUGUAUAAUGGGUCAGCGACUUAUAUUCAGUGGCAAGCUUAACCGUAUAGGGUAGGCGUAGCGAAAGCGAGUCUUAAUAGGGCGUUUAGUCGCUGGGUAUAGACCCGAAACCGGGCGAUCUAUCCAUGAGCAGGUUGAAGGUUAGGUAACACUGACUGGAGGACCGAACCCACUCCCGUUGAAAAGGUAGGGGAUGACUUGUGGAUCGGAGUGAAAGGCUAAUCAAGCUCGGAGAUAGCUGGUUCUCCUCGAAAGCUAUUUAGGUAGCGCCUCAUGUAUCACUCUGGGGGGUAGAGCACUGUUUCGGCUAGGGGGUCAUCCCGACUUACCAAACCGAUGCAAACUCCGAAUACCCAGAAGUGCCGAGCAUGGGAGACACACGGCGGGUGCUAACGUCCGUCGUGAAAAGGGAAACAACCCAGACCGCCAGCUAAGGUCCCAAAGUUGUGGUUAAGUGGUAAACGAUGUGGGAAGGCUUAGACAGCUAGGAGGUUGGCUUAGAAGCAGCCAUCCUUUAAAGAAAGCGUAAUAGCUCACUAGUCGAGUCGGCCUGCGCGGAAGAUGUAACGGGGCUCAAACCACACACCGAAGCUGCGGGUGUCACGUAAGUGACGCGGUAGAGGAGCGUUCUGUAAGCCUGUGAAGGUGAGUUGAGAAGCUUGCUGGAGGUAUCAGAAGUGCGAAUGCUGACAUGAGUAACGACAAUGGGUGUGAAAAACACCCACGCCGAAAGACCAAGGGUUCCUGCGCAACGUUAAUCGACGCAGGGUUAGUCGGUUCCUAAGGCGAGGCUGAAAAGCGUAGUCGAUGGGAAACAGGUUAAUAUUCCUGUACUUCUGGUUACUGCGAUGGAGGGACGGAGAAGGCUAGGCCAGCUUGGCGUUGGUUGUCCAAGUUUAAGGUGGUAGGCUGAAAUCUUAGGUAAAUCCGGGGUUUCAAGGCCGAGAGCUGAUGACGAGUCGUCUUUUAGAUGACGAAGUGGUUGAUGCCAUGCUUCCAAGAAAAGCUUCUAAGCUUCAGGUAACCAGGAACCGUACCCCAAACCGACACAGGUGGUCGGGUAGAGAAUACCAAGGCGCUUGAGAGAACUCGGGUGAAGGAACUAGGCAAAAUGGCACCGUAACUUCGGGAGAAGGUGCGCCGGCUAGGGUGAAGGAUUUACUCCGUAAGCUCUGGCUGGUCGAAGAUACCAGGCCGCUGCGACUGUUUAUUAAAAACACAGCACUCUGCAAACACGAAAGUGGACGUAUAGGGUGUGACGCCUGCCCGGUGCCGGAAGGUUAAUUGAUGGGGUUAGCGCAAGCGAAGCUCUUGAUCGAAGCCCCGGUAAACGGCGGCCGUAACUAUAACGGUCCUAAGGUAGCGAAAUUCCUUGUCGGGUAAGUUCCGACCUGCACGAAUGGCGUAACGAUGGCGGCGCUGUCUCCACCCGAGACUCAGUGAAAUUGAAAUCGCUGUGAAGAUGCAGUGUAUCCGCGGCUAGACGGAAAGACCCCGUGAACCUUUACUGUAGCUUUGCACUGGACUUUGAGCCUGCUUGUGUAGGAUAGGUGGGAGGCUUUGAAGCGUGGACGCCAGUUCGCGUGGAGCCAUCCUUGAAAUACCACCCUGGCAUGCUUGAGGUUCUAACUCUGGUCCGUGAUCCGGAUCGAGGACAGUGUAUGGUGGGCAGUUUGACUGGGGCGGUCUCCUCCUAAAGAGUAACGGAGGAGUACGAAGGUGCGCUCAGACCGG
rnacentral:rRNA from 1 species